rnacentral:lncRNA from 1 species
GAGUACAUUAAUGAGCUUGUUGAAGCCGAUAGAGAGGGGGGCAAAAUGAUCUGUGCUGGGACAUUCUUGAAUCCCGGGUCCUGGGAUUGUGCACUUCUUGCUGCUGGCACUACAUUAUCUGCUAUGAAGCAUAUAAUUGAUGGAUGUGGAAAAAUUUCUUAUGCACUUGUUAGGCCACCAGGUCAUCAUGCUCAGCCCAAUCAAGGUGAUGGGUACUGCUUUCUGAAUAAUGCUGCUCUUUCUGUACAGUUGGCUUUAGGUUCUGGCUGCCGAAAGGUUGCUGUUAUCGAUGUUGAUGUUCACUAUGGAAAUGGAACUGCAGAGGGAUUUUAUCAUUCUGAUGAAGUUCUCACUAUUUCUCUUCAUAUGAAUCAUGGUUCUUGGGGUCCCUCUCAUCCUCAGAGUGGAACUGUAGAUGAGCUUGGUGAAGGGAAAGGGUUUGGGUAUAAUCUGAAUAUACCUCUCCCUAAUGGAACUGGAGACAGAGGAUAUGAUUACGCAAUGAGGCAGUUAGUUGUCCCUGCUGUUGAGAAGUUUAAGCCCGAUAUGUUGGUCUUGGUUAUUGGCGAAGAUUCAAGUGCAGUAAGUUCAAUGUUUUUUCUUUACUUUUCUUACUAGGAAGGGAUUAUAUGCUUAUCUUUUGCCCAUAUUAGAAACUGUAUUCCCCAAUCUUCAUUUUUGUUCUUGAACAAAUAAUGUUGAUGUCAGGUAUUGAACCAUGAAUGGUUAAUAAAAAGUUAGCAUCAUUCAAUCAGUGUCAGUUUUGGUUACUAGUAUUGAGUAAAGACAAGGAUUUGUGCUUCAGAGAGUAUGGUUUCCUAGGAAAAAAAGAUGAAAGAAAAGAUUGCUUACAUGAUUCCGCUGUUAAAAUUUGCUUAAGCAAAAUAAACGGUAGUGCACUAUGAACCUGAAGACGGAUUCCUUACGAGAUUGCAGUGUUACGUGUAAUUACUUUUAAACCUACUCCCUGAACUUUGUUUUAGUUAUCACUAAUCCAGUUUAUCUGGUACUAGUUAGCCUUCUCAAUCAUCUAUUUGCUUGUUCAAACUAGACAGUUGCUUGAGUUAGCCUAGUCCCUAAAGUUUAUUAAAGGAAAAAGAAAAACCUUGCUUAGAAUGGACUGAAGUGUUAUACUUUUGAUAUCAGAUUUUUGGAUUCUAGAGGUCCAUAUUUUUCACAAUUUGGCUUCUAAUUUCAGUUUGAUCCAAAUGGAAGACAAUGCUUGACAAUGGAUGGGUAUAGAGUGAUUGGACAAACUGUUCGUGGGUUAGCUGAUAAGCAUAGCCAUGGAUGCCUUCUCAUCGUCCAAGAAGGUGGAUAUCAUGUCACGUAUUCGGCUUACUGUUUGCAUGCAAUCCUUGAAGGAGUGCUGAAAAUUCCAGUUCCUUUAUUAUCUGAUCCCAUUGCUUACUACCCAGAAGAUGAAGCAUUCAGUGUCAAGGUCAUUGAAUCCAUCAAAGAUUACCAGAUAAAUACUGUUCCAUUCUUAUGAGAGGCUGAAUCAGGUAGCCAGCUCCUUCUUGGACUCUCAUCUUGAACUUAAAAACAGCUAUUUCAUUUGACAGGAGAGCGAGGUGGAUUCGGAACCUCUCCUCAAAUUUUGUUUUUCUUUUCCACAGGCUUUCUAACAACACUUGCCUGUCUCAUGAACCAC